GCAAGUCGAACGGUAACAUAAGGUGCUUGCUCUUUUGCUGACGAGUGGCGCACGGGUGCGUAACGCGUAUACAAUCUACCUUUUACAGGGGGAUAGCCUUUAGAAAUGAAGAAUAAUACCCCAUAGUAAGUGAUUUUCGCAUGGAAGACACUUUAAAGUUUCGGCGGUAAAAGAUGAGUAUGCGUUCUAUUAGCUAGAUGGUAAGGUAACGGCUUACCAUGGCAACGAUAGAUAGGGGCCCUGAGAGGGGGAUC
rnacentral:rRNA from 1 species